GCAAACUUGGUCAUUUAGAGGAAGUAAAAGUCGUAACAAGGUUUCCGUAGGUAAGUUGGAAGCUUUUCAUCUUACUAACCACUUAAACUAUCUUUCUAUGCUUGAAUAACAUGCUGACUUUCUCCCUUCUAGGUGAACCUGCGGAAGGAUCAUUAAAAGAGCGUGACCCCCCUUGUAAAAGAGGGGGGUAACCUCCCGUCCUUUGCUGGUCCCUUUUAGGGGCUUUUCAAGACUCUCUGCUUCGGUGGGGUAUCCCACCGGAACACCCUUAAAAAAUUCUGAUCAAAAAAUCGUUCUGUCCGAGAAUUUGAGAAUUUAAAUAAAAACUUUCAACAACGGAUCUCUUGGUUCUGGCAUCGAUGAAGAACGCAGC
rnacentral:misc_RNA from 1 species